GUACGCUCCUGAGGGCUCAGCCGCUCUCCCAACUUGACCUUGUCUAACUCACCUGUCUGACUCUUGUACCCUAGGAGGUUUUGUAGAGGAAUGCCUCAGAGGCAGGGGCGCAGAUCGCCACCACCCCCUCUGCUCUUGGUAGGGCUUCAACAUGUUCACAUGGAUCAUUUAUUGCUGUAGCGGAAUGGAUUUGCUUUAACCGACCUAAUUCCCUUUGUUCGGCUGGCCGUACA